AGCAGACUCUUCACAAGUGGACAGAACUUGCCAUUAGACUGGAGCUCUGCAGUCUAGUAUGGGCAGAUGAAGAUACAACAUAUAUAGAAGGAGACACAUACCGUGAAUACUUCAACAGCAUACUGUUUAAAAGAAAAAAAAUACUUCUCUAGACAUCAGAGAAUGAGGAAAAUAACAACAAAGGAGAAAUCUACAGAAAUCUACAAGAAGACUAGUAUGCAUUGGACAAUGAAUAAAAUGCUCAACCUUGUGAGAAGCUAAUUCUCCCUUUCUACCAUUCAUCAGUUGCCUGAAGUUCACUGUCUUGGGUUUUCCUGAGUCCUGAGGAGAGAAGUUUGAUAAAGCCAUUCCAUU